rfam:Picea glauca, whole genome shotgun sequence.
GUCGUUGUAGUAUAGUGGUAAGUAUUCCCGCCUGUCACGCGGGUGACCCAUGUUCGAUUUCUGACAACGACG